rnacentral:rRNA from 1 species
UACGAAGGGUGCAAGCGUUACUCGGAAUCACUGGGCGUAAAGCGUGCGUAGGCGGUUCGUUAAGUCUGUUGUGAAAUCCUCCGGCUCAACCGGAGAACUGCCAUGGAUACUGGGUGUCUCGAGGGUGGUAGGGGUAUGCGGAACUAUCGGUGGAGCGGUGAAAUGCGUUGAUAUCGAUAGGAACUCCGGUGGCGAAGGCGGCAUACUGGACCGCUUCUGACGCUGAGGCGCGAAAGCCAGGGGAGCAAACGGG